AAUAGAUACCCUGGUAGUCCACGCCGUAAACGAUGUCGACUUGGAGGUUGUUCCCUUGAGGAGUGGCUUCCGGAGCUAACGCGUUAAGUCGACCGCCUGGGGAGUACGGCCGCAAGGUUAAAACUCAAAUGAAUUGACGGGGGCCCGCACAAGCGGUGGAGCAUGUGGUUUAAUUCGAUGCAACGCGAAGAACCUUACCUACUCUUGACAUCCAGGGAACUUAGCAGAGAUGCUUUGGUGCCUUCGGGAACUCUGAGACAGGUGCUGCAUGGCUGUCGUCAGCUCGUGUUGUGAAAUGUUGGGUUAAGUCCCGCAACGAGCGCAACCCUUAUCCUUUGUUGCCAGCGGUUAGGCCGGGAACUCAAAGGAGACUGCCAGUGAUAAACUGGAGGAAGGUGGGGAUGACGUCAAGUCAUCAUGGCCCUUACGAGUAGGGCUACACACGUGCUACAAUGGCGCAUACAAAGAGAAGCGACCUCGCGAGAGCAAGCGGACCUCAUAAAGUGCGUCGUAGUCCGGAUUGGAGUCUGCAAC
rnacentral:rRNA from 1 species